rnacentral:rRNA from 1 species
UAACGAUACGGGACUCAUCCGAGGCCCCGUAAUCGGAAUGAGUACACUUUAAAUCCUUUAACGAGGACCCAUUGGAGGGCAAGUCUGGUGCCAGCAGCCGCGGUAAUUCCAGCUCCAAUAGCGUAUAUUAAAGUUGUUGCGGUUAAAAAGCUCGUAGUUGAAUCUGUGUGCCACGCUGUCGGUUCAUCGCUCGCGGUGUUUGACUGACAUGAUUGUGGGACGUCCUACCGGUGGGCUUAGCUCUUCGGGGCGGUCCAGCUAAUAUCCCAUCGCGGUGCUCUUCACCGAGUGUCGAGAUGGGCCGGUACGUUUACUUUGAACAAAUUAGAGUGCUCAAAGCAGGCUAUGUUCGCCUGAAUAUAUGUGCAUGGAAUAAUGGAAUAGGACCUCGGUUCUAUUUUGUUGGUUUUCGGAACCCCGAGGUAAUGAUUAAUAGGGACAGAUGGGGGCAUUCGUAUUGCGACGUUAGAGGUGAAAUUCUUGGAUCGUCGCAAGACGGACAGAAGCGAAAGCAUUUGCCAAAAAUGUUUUCAUUAAUCAAGAACGAAAGUUAGAGGUUCGAAGGCGAUCAGAUACCGCCCUAGUUCUAACCAUAAACGAUGCCAGCUAGCGAUCCGCCGAAGUUCCUCCGAUGACUCGGCGGGCAGCUUCCGGGAAACCAAAGCUUUUGGGUUCCGGGGGAAGUAUGGUUGCAAAGCUGAAACUUAAAGGAAUUGACGGAAGGGCACCACCAGGAGUGGAGCCUGCGGCUUAAUUUGACUCAACAC